rnacentral:rRNA from 1 species
GAGUUUGAUCUUGGCUCAGGGUAAACGCUGGCGGCGUGCCUAAAACAUGCAAGUCGAACGGUGUCCUUCGGGGCACAGUGGCAGACGGCUGAGUAACGCGUGGGGUGACGUACCUAUCGAUGGGGAAUAACUGCCCGAAAGGGUGGCUAAUACCGCAUACGUCCACUCCUUCAGUGGGGUGGGGAAAACCGCAAGGUGUCGAUGGAGCGGCCCGCGUUCGAUUAGCUAGUUGGUGGGGUAACGGCCUACCAAGGCGACGAUCGAUAGCUGGUCUCAGAGGAUGAUCAGCCAGACUGGGACUGAGACACGGCCCAGACUCCUACGGGAGGCAGCAGUUAGGAAUUUUGGGCAAUGGCGCAAGCCUGACCCAGCAACGCCGCGUGGGUGACGAAGGUCUUCGGAUUGUAAAGCCCUUUUCUGAGGGAAGAUGAUGACGGUACCUCAGGAAGAAGCACCGGCUAACUACGUGCCAGCCGCCGCCGUAAU